rnacentral:lncRNA from 1 species
GUUAAACCCCCAAGACUGUCUAGUCCAACUCCUCUUAUAGAUGAGGACACUGAGACACAGCGAGGGAAGGAACUUGUCCCAAUCACACAGCCCGACUGGAACUCCUGUCUGCCAGCCAGUCCUCGUCCACACCUAUGAGCUCCUACAACCUGUGCAAAGAUCGGCCCAUGAAGCAGAUAUUGUCAUCUUCGUUUUGUAGAUGAAGAAACUGAGAUUUAGAAAACUUAAAAUAACUUGUCCUUACUAAGAAGUGGAUCCAGGAUUUGAACCAAAGCAUCUGACACUAGAAUCACACUAGGCUCUCCUUUCUUCCAGUAGCCUCUGCCUUUUGCUCUUUCUAAGACCGAUUUGGCUGCAAAGUCUUGGUAUUUUUUUUUUUAAGAUCUUGUCAUGGUACCCAAACCUCAUGGGGGUCAGAGUAUGAAUGAAUGAGUGGCCAAAUGAUGAGGACAUUUGUGCUCCAUGACUUUGCCCAAAUAUGACCUCCUUAAUGGUCUAGCUCCUCAUUUUGCUUUAUUUUCCUUUUGGAACAUUUAUUACCGAUUGGAAGGUUUCCUUAGGGUGUCGAUUCAUAAGGCCAGGGCUGCUGGCUGACCUAGUCCAACCCCCUGCAUAGCAACAAGGAUUGAUUUUCAGGGUCAUUAGUGCACCCCACAACUUUCACAAUGGAGUAAUUGAGAAACAAAUAUGCAAAUGCAAACAGAUCCUUUUAUUGUGGGGAACGAAAUUCAGAUCAUUUGAAGACAAAACAAUGAGGGAGGGAACGUAUACAAAAAUCCUGCAUUCUUCCAACCGAGGCUCUGAGUGGAUCCGGCGCUCUGGCCCUAGUGGCAGCCUCUGGAAUUGCAGGCAAGAAAGACGGAGUGGGAAGUAAGGCAAACGAACAUUUUUUUUAUUCGAAAACUACUGCGUGGACUCAAGACACAGCUGCCUCCCCUGCGGGAAGUCACACCCCGUCUCCAGCAAAACAGGAUCCAGGAGCACCGCGCUCCAGGGUAUUUCGACAUCUUCUCUGUCUGGUCCUGUAGAUGCGUUUGAUGGGGAGCAUCUAUUUGAAU